rnacentral:rRNA from 1 species
UACGUAGGGGGCUAGCGUUGUCCGGAUUUAUUGGGCGUAAAGAGCGUGUAGGCGGCCAGGUAGGUCUGGUGUGAAAACUCGAGGCUUAACCCUCGAGAUGUCAUCGGAAACCAUCUGGCUAGAGUCCGGAAGAGGAGAGUGGAAUUCCUGGUGUAGCGGUGAAAUGCGCAGAUAUCAGGAAGAACACCAAUGGCGAAAGCAGCUCUCUGGGACGGUACUGACGCUGAGACGCGAAAGCGUGGGGAGCGAAGCAGG